rnacentral:rRNA from 1 species
UAAAUAAGCGGAGGAAAAGAAACUAACAAGGAUUGACAUAGUAAGGGCGACUGAACUGUCAUGAGCUCACCAUGUGAAUCAGUGUACGUGAGUGCGCCGAAUUGUGGUCUGGAGGUGUGUGCAUUAUUGUGCUUGGCAAAGUCCCUUGGAAGAGGGCAGCAUAGAGGGUGAUACUCCCGUUUGCCUAGUGCUUAGAGCGUGCACCAAAGAGUCGAGUUGUUUGGGAUUGCAGCUCAAAGCCGGUGGUAAAUUCCAUCGAAAGCUAAAUACUGGUGGGAAACCGAUAGCGCACAAGUACCGUGAGGGAAAGAUGCAAAGAACUUUGAAAAGAGAGUUAAAGAGUGCCUGAAAUUGCUGAGAAGGAAGCGAAGGAAAGUAGUGAUAAGUUGCGCCAUACUUCCUGACCUGCUUGCAGGUUAGGCGCUGUGGUCAGCGUGGUUCGUUUUGGUUCGGUUGAUGGAAGGUGCAGCAGCAGCGGUAUGUUGAAGCAGCUUGAUGUCGUCUGGACUGAGAGGAACGAAAUGGUUUUCUUUGCCCCG